AAAAAAAAAAAAAAAAAAAAAAGCCGACGUCAGGAGCGUGCUUCGUAAAGUGCAACUGAAAAGUCACUUCUGAAAACCUUAGAGCAUGAGAGGGUGACGACGGCAGCUUGAGCGUAUGUAUGUGGGAGGGGGGACUAAAAACCUGUCAUCUUUGCGCCUGUGUGUGGAAAACGGGGGUGGGGGGUGGGGUUUCGUCUUCAUGGAGCUGCUGACUAAUCACAUGUGAAGGUUUCUGAGCAGCUAGCUUUGCAGAUGAACCUGAGAUGAUAUUAGCAGUCCCUUUUGCCAUCGAGUGAACUUUUGUCUUCGCACUUUGCUCGUCCCCAUGCCUGGCUCCACGCGCUGGACUCUGCAGAAGAAGGGCAGGCCCAUUUAUUGCCAGACCAGUGGAAAGUCAUGACCACUUGGCUGUCGUGCGGUGGCAGGUAAUUAAAUAGAUGCAAACUUCUGUAUAGCAGCGACAGAGGAAAGACCAAAAUACCGGCAAUGCCUUGUUAUGCUCUCUUUGGGGACCCACAAGGACAAAGGGACGUUCUCACCCAGAGAAGGAAAUUUGGAAUUUAAGGAAGGCUGCAUUUCCUCCUAGGAAGCGCUUAGGGGCUUCAAUGGACCCUGACCAUUCGGGAGACUUACUGGAGUGACCAAAUAAGCACUGACAGCCCGCUGCCCAAUGUCAUACUGUGACAGCUAAUGUUUCAUCAAGCAAACAGCGUGGGAGCGCUUUAGGCUGUGUUCUCGCGACCUGAAAACAUCCACCGUGGUUGGCUUGAUAGCCUGUCUUUCGCACACAUGAUAAAUGUUAUCUCAGCUUUGCGUGACCACAACAGGGGAGGGCAAAGAAGUAAUGCUUUUCCAAAACAGAAGUCUGUUUCACACGCACACCCCCUACCCCCCAUCAGAGCGCUCCCUUUGCCCGCAGCGGAAGUUAAUGUUAUCAUGUCAGACAUUUGAUAUGAACACAAUGAUUUCAAAAUGUAGAGAUACCGCUGAUGCACUUGGGGGCGAUUGCCAGCAGGGCAAACAAGUGACUCAUCAGAGGAGGAAAAUCGUCCGCUCGAAAACCGACUGUGGUACCCACGUGAGGAUCUGGCUUGCUAGGCUCCAGUGCCGCCUUCUGACAAACGGAGGGACUCCCUCGGCCAAGAGAUUCACAAAGCAGCGUUUUUGUGAAUGAACAAACGCAUCUUGUCAGCCCGUGCCAGCAGAAAUGUUAAGGAGCAAAACCAAAGUUUGAUUUUUGUAAGCAGGGUAUACUAUCGCCGCGGCCCACGUGGCACACACACAGGCAGCCAGGGUUCUUCUGCUCCCUGAGCCGUGGAGAUGAGAAGGGUGGGCUGCCCCACACAUGCGAGCACUCGGGGGAGCUCGCCUUUCUCAUCCUGAGGGCCCCACCUUUUUCAGAAGGGUUCACAGAAUUGCCCAAGGGCCCGGUCAGCGACUCUUGGCCAGUGGACAGUUAUCUGGGCCUGGACGUGUUGGAAGAACGCAGGUGGAAAAGGACUUGUCAGCAGCAUGAAGCCCUCUCUAUCUGCUGUCUAAAGCCCUUCAGUGAAGAGCCCAGUGUCACGGGGCGACUGUCGAACUGCGUGGACAUCUGGGGGGUUGACAUAAGUUGUGAGUAUCCCAGCCACGACGCCGUGGGAUGGUUUUCAGUUGUGUGGGUAUGAAGUCGCUGGGUUUGGAAUUUGUCACUGAAAUCAGGCAAGUCACAGUAUGACUGCGUGGUAGGGUCACCUCCUAGGCUUUUUCUUUCUUACAUCCAACACAUCUGGUAUGUCUUACUUAGGACGUUGUACUAUGUCCAUUAAAAUGAUUCCAUAAGGCAAGCCACCCAGAUGCAUUUACUAGCUGAAAAGCACUUUUUUAAAUAGACAAGGAUGAAUUUAAUAUGGGCCGAUGUGACCGUCUGGGGAAUCUUUUUAUAGCGAGCUUACAUUACUGUAUGUGGGGAAAUUUUUGUCUUCUACUCCCAUUCAACAAUAGCAAACGUGGUUUUAUAAGAUGAACAUUAUCGUGUUAGCUGCCUGUGAAAAAAUAAAGACUUGGCGUUAUCAGCA
ensembl:lncRNA